rnacentral:rRNA from 1 species
AUGAACGCUGGCGGCGUGCCUAAUACCUGCAAGUCGAGCGAACGGACGAGAAGCUUGCUUCUCUGAUGUUAGCGGCGGACGGGUGAGUAACACGUGGAUAACCUACCUAUAAGACUGGGAUAACUUCGGGAAACCGUAGCUAAUACCGGAUAAUAUUUUGAACCGCAUGGUUCAAAAGUGAAAGACGGUCUUGCUGUCACUUAUAGAUGGAUCCGCGCUGCAUUAGCUAGUUGGUAAGGUAACGGCUUACCAAGGCAACGAUGCAUAGCCGACCUGAGAGGGUGAUCGGCCACACUGGAACUGAGACACGGUCCAGACUCCUACGGGAGGCAGCAGUAGGGAAUCUUCCGCAACGGGCGAAAGCCUGACGGAGCAACGCCGCGUGAGUGAUGAAGGUCUUCGGAUCGUAAAACUCUGUUAUUAGGGAAGAACAUAUGUGUAAGUAACUGUGCAUAUCUUGACGGUACCUAAUCAGAAAGCCACGGCUAACUACGUG